rnacentral:rRNA from 1 species
GUGCCAGCAGCCGCGGUAAUACCUAGGUGGCAAGCGUUGUCCGGAAUUAUUGGGCGUAAAGCGCGCGCAGGCGUCUCUUAAGUCUGAUGUGAAAGCCCCCGGCUCAACCGGGGAGGGUCAUUGGAAACUGGGAGACUUGAGUGCAGGAGAGGGAAGCUGGAAUUCCAUGUGUAGCGGUGAAAUGCGUAGAGAUAUGGAGGAACACCAGUGGCGAAGGCGGCUUCCUGGCCUGUAACUGACGCUGAGGCGCGAAAGCGUGGGGAGCAAACAGGAUUAGAUACCCUGGUAGUCCACGCCGUAAACGUAUGAGUGCUAGGUGUUAGGGGGUUUCCGCCCCUUAGUGCUGCASSUAACGCAUUAAGCACUCCGCCUGGGGAGUACGGUCGCAAGCAUGAAACUCAAAGGAAUUGACGG